ACUCCCCAGGCGGGGUACUUAAAGCGUUAGCUACGGCACGGAACCCGUGGAAUGGACCCCACACCUAGUACCCACCGUUUACAGCGUGGACUACCAGGGUAUCUAAGCCUGUUCGCUCCCCACGCUUUCGCUCCUCAGCGUCAGGAAAGGCCCAGAGAACCGCCUUCGCCACUGGUGUUCCUCCUGAUAUCUGCGCAUUCCACCGCUCCACCAGGAAUUCCAUUCUCCCCUACCUUCCUCAAGUCAACCCGUAUCGAAAGCACGCUCAGGGUUAAGCCCCAAGAUUACACUUCCGACGCGAUCAACCACCUACGAGCCCUUUACGCCCAAUAAAUCCGGACAACGCUCGCACCCUACGUAUCACCGCGGCUGCUGGCACGUAGUUAGCCGGUGCUUCUUUACCCAUUACCGUCACUCACGCUUCGUCACAGGCGAAAGCGGUUUACAACCCGAAGGCCGUCAUCCCGCACGCGGCGUUGCUGCAUCAGGCUUCCGCCCAUUGUGCAAUAUUCCCCACUGCUGCCUCCCGUAGGAGUCUGGGCCGUAUCUCA
rnacentral:rRNA from 1 species